rnacentral:sRNA from 1 species
UCUUUCAAUACAAUCACGGAUCUGUUCCCAGCUUUCCUCCUGCACGUUCGCGUGUUCAGCUGUUGAUCGCUGGGGAGGCUCGAUCGUUCCUAAGGAGCCACCACUAGUCCCCAUGGUGCCAAUCAUCCGAUCGACAGAUCCCAGACCGACCAACUUUAUUGUUUGGGGCAGCUAUAUUCCAACCCUCUUUUCCGAGAUCAUUGAUCCGUGAGGUAGGGGAAAACCAUCCUGCCACAUUU